CUUAGCUCUUAGGGAAUUUGAGCCCUAAAGGGAAAUUUGGACAUCAAGAAAAUGAUUGCCAGUGUGACCUCUUCUCACUACAAGGGAAGCUCUGGGAGCUGGAAGAUCAGACAGCAAAGGGCCAGUCUGGCCUUACGACACAGGUUCAUGCUGCAAAUGAGAAUGGUUUAGUGGAAAGACUGUGACUUUCAGGUGGAAAUAAAAUCAAAUCAUGACUCAUGAAUGUAAGUACUGUGUGACCUUAGUGAACUCAGUUAGUAUCUCUGAAAAAUU
rnacentral:lncRNA from 1 species